AUGGCUUGGACCCCACUCCUCUUCCUCACCCUCCUCCUCCACUGCACAGGGUCUCUCUCCCAGCUUGUGCUGACUCAAUCGCCCUCUGCCUCUGCCUCCCUGGGAGCCUCGGUCAAGCUCACCUGCACUCUGAGCAGUGGGCACAGCAGCUACGCCAUCGCAUGGCAUCAGCAGCAGCCAGAGAAGGGCCCUCGGUACUUGAUGAAGCUUAACAGUGAUGGCAGCCACAGCAAGGGGGACGGGAUCCCUGAUCGCUUCUCAGGCUCCAGCUCUGGGGCUGAGCGCUACCUCACCAUCUCCAGCCUCCAGUCUGAGGAUGAGGCUGACUAUUACUGUCAGACCUGGGGCACUGGCAUUCA